AAGCAAGCUGUCCCCCGACCUCAUCCUCUGGCCAGCUGGGAAAUGUCUAUCUGCCUUCAUCUCCGGCGAUGUCCUUGCUUCGGCGAUCUCUAAUCACUUGGUCGCCUGGGUUUACAUCUGGCGACUUCAUCUUUAACCCGGUGACCGCCGGUUCUGGUGUGCUGGAGAUCGGAGCACGCCAACUUAAUAACUGGCGACUACACGAGCCCCCCGACUUCCUUCCCUUUUGCCAGCCAGGCGUCCCAU
rnacentral:lncRNA from 1 species